rnacentral:lncRNA from 1 species
CAAACCCUUACUUCCCACAGCAGUCUUCACCAUCCGAGACCACACAAGGUAGUUGCUACCUUUGAACGUAACCGCUACCUUCAUCCUCAUGUUCAUCCCAUGUUCCAUCUUUGCUUGACUUGAAAACUUGAAUCUUGAAUCUCGUACACACCAACCUUGAGUCUAGAAUCACGCAACCACACAGAACGUAGCACAGCUUCAACUAGAACGUAACACAGCUUCAACACCUUCAAGACUACUCGCGUGUAGCUUCAAAGCCGUUAGCUUGUAACUCUCUAAAGAUCAAACCCCAGAUUCAAACGAACCUGGCUCUGAUACCAUCUGAGAUUAAGAGAUCCUUAGAGUAAUCAGAAUAAAGAGAGUGUUUAAGAAGUGAUUAAGAGAAGUUUGUGAAAGAUUAAGAGAUUAGAUAGAGCCGUUUAGAGUCUAAGAGAGAACCAUAGUGUCUAAGAGAUUAGAGAGACUCAAACUGCAUAAUCUUAUUAAUGAGUGAGGUUACAUAUUUAUAUAGAAAGCAUUAGGGUUUACAAGAGGCGAAAUGGGCACUAUUGGAGCAUGUAGAGUCAAGGAUGCUUUCCGGAUGAUUGGAUGAUAAGGCUCACACGCUUUGCCUCUUUACAGCCUGUUCCAGCCUGGCACGCUCUUCCCUUAUCC